rnacentral:lncRNA from 1 species
UCAUUCACUAAAAGCCAAGAAAUUUUUUAAGAAAAAAUGCCGAAUUUUUUUGUGUCAAAAAGAAUUUUUAUCUUUAGCAACGCUGAUAAAACUGAAUUUUUUAAAAAAAAAGAGUAUUUCCAGCCUUCUAACCAAAUAUUAGAGACUUUUACAAAAGCACUCUCACAAAAUAAUGCUUUUAUAAUCAAUUUAAAAGUCUUUCAAAUCUUUAAUCAUUUUUUAAAGGCGAAAAAGAAGAAUCAUCAAUCUUCAUACCAUUUAAUAAAGCUAUUUUAAUAAAACGCAAUACAAAUUGUUGUAAAUUAGUA